rnacentral:lncRNA from 1 species
CACAUUAAGUUAAUUUAUUUUCUCAAAUUAUCACCAAUAUCGAUGUCAAUGUAUAGUUAUUAGGUUUUUAGUGCUUUACAUAUAAAAAAGUAUGACCUUUGUACACGGCCCUCUCUCUCACCUCUCUCAUCAAAAAAGCUUCCUCGUCGUCAUCGCCGUUCAACUCAUCCCUUCUCCCAAAUGCAAACCCAAGCUGCCAAGAUGUAGCCUUUUAAGAGGUGGUGCGCUCUGUCCUUUUGGCUCCACCAUCUAGGGUCUCAUGUCCCUUCAGCAGGAGUUUGUCCUUCGUACCUUUCGUUCCCGGCGGCCUUUCCUUCCCAGCGGCUUCUUCUUCGCUUCGGAUCUCCUCCGCCGGUCACCGUUCAAUGCUGGUACAUGCUUCUCCUUUCCAAAUCCAGUUUGUUUGGGUCCGCAAAGGGGUGUUUUGCAAGUUUGGUGGUUGUUUUGUGCCGAUCGUUGGUGUUGAUCCGAUGUCGUGAGGUUGCUUGUUUCAGGCUGUCGCUGCUGUGUUUGGUUGGUGCUCGACGUCCUCCGGUGGUUUUUGUUGUUCCGUUGUGUUUGUUUUUCUUUGUUCACUCUCUGUGUGUUUUAUUUCGUUUGGGUUACCGGAUGUUGCUCGGUGUUUGUUUUGUGGUUCUCCGGCGACGAUUUGGUUGUCUUGACGAGAUGGUGGUGUGUUGAGAUUUGUUCUCCGCACCACCGUCGUAAGGUUUCCUCACGCUGUUCGUUUUUACGCUGUCCUUUUUUGUUGUUUUGGGUGUCGCCAGUUUUUGUGUUGUUUUUGUUGUGUCGGCUCGUGUUAUUUGUGUCGUUUUAUGUUUUGCUUCGGCGAGAGGAGGUGAUGCAGUGAUGUGAGGAGGUUUCGACUCUGGGUGGUGUGUGACGAGCUUGGGGGUGGUAGUUUUGGUUGUGUGCUGGUGGUGUAUCCGCCGUUUUUGCUCCACCAUUGGUUCUUUUUACUACGGCGACGAAUGCAUUCUCCUUGUCACAGGCGGCUGCCUUUUUAUGAUAUGGGUUGUGGUUCCUCUUCAAACCGGCAUCGCUGCCCGUGUUUUGUUGUUGGAUUUUGUCUCCCUUUAGAUUUAUGUUUGUGCUGUUGCUUGUUUCUUGGUGAGGAUGUUUGGCGGCGUAAUGAUGUAGUGACAGUGGUGGUGAUGCGCGGUGGUGAGGCAUUGGUGGUGGAGGUUAUUCAAUUGUGGUGGGGGUGGUGGUGAAGUGUGGUGGGGGUGAUGAUGUGUGGUGGUGGUUACUGUUUUAAGUGUGGAGGCGGGUGCUUGUUGGGGUGAUUUCCUUUGGAAGUAACCUUUGUUACACGGGUCUUUGUUCAUCGUCACUAGCUCUUGUUUGUGCCUUUUGGAUGGUUUAGGUGUUUACGGAGUUUGGAGGGAGUGUGUCCCUUUGUGUGGAGCUUUUUCCUUGUGAUUUGUUUGUUGGUUAAACUUCACAUGCCAUGUCUUUCCUCUUACUUAUUGUGUGCUGGUUUUCGGUGGGCUGGUUCCUUUGGCUUCGAGAUCAGGAGUCGGGGUCUAGCUGCAAUCUUUGUUUGACUUAAUUUGGUUUUUCUCUGAUGUACCGGGAGUGAGGGUGCCCUGCUAAUUUGGUUCUAAAGUCUGGUGGGCCGAUCACUUUUGAUUCGAGAUCGGGAGUCAGUUCUUUGACUCAAGUUGGUUUUUGGGCUUUUGAUUUGUGCUCUUUUGGUGGAUCGGAGGUCGCAAGGUUGUGGAAGCUGCAUGAUCCUUUUCGGUCAGGUGCUCUUCGUAAUGUGGCUCAGCUUGGGUGUCGGGGUCUGGGUGUUUUAUUUUGAGGGUGUUCUUUAGGGGUGAGUAGUGACGAUGGAUGGUGGUGGAUACUGUGUUUACUGUGCUUGUUUUUUUUUUGGAGUCUGUUUUAGGUGGUUAUGUGUUUUGGUGGGUUUGUCUUCAGGGGUAUUUUUAGGUCGUUAUGGUGUACCGUCUAUAUGCGGCACCAUUUGUAUCAUGUUUCGUCCAUACUUUGCGUCUUGCAGGAAUGACGUUUAAUAAUAUUUGCCGAUUAAAAAAAAAAAACAUAUAAAAAAGUAUGAGUUUAAUUUUCAUAAGAAAAGUUUUACACCUACAAUAACUAGUUAU